rnacentral:rRNA from 1 species
AUGUCUUCUCAUUCUUCCGCUUUGUCCUCUCUUCGAUCGCUGGAUUCUCCUGUUCAUGUCUUCACUGCUGAUGGUACUCCACUUUCUGUUGCUAGUAGAUGCCAUCUUUCCACUCCUUAUUCUGUUCCUGAUGUUGCUCAUGUUCCUCGACUUACCAUGAAUCUGUUUUCUGUCGGUCAACUUACUGAUUCUGGUUGUCGAUCCUUGACGUUGACUCUUGUUCUGUCCAGGAUCGUCGCACACACACUCUGGUUGGGGCUGGCCCUCGCCGCCGUGAUUCUCAGGGUCUUUGGGAGUUGGACUGGCUUCAUGUUCCUUCCGCUGCCACCACCAUCGCCAGUCCCUCCGCUGCUGUCGCCUCUGUUACUGGUUCCUUCAAGCAGUGGCAUCAUCGACUUGGUCAUCUGUGUGGUUCUCGGUUAUCGUCUUUAG